GUGAAUCAUCGAAUCUUUGAACGCACAUUGCGCCCCCUGGCAUUCCGGGGGGCAUGCCUGUCCGAGCGUCAUUUCUGCCCUCAAGCACGGCUUGUGUGUUGGGUGCGGUCCCCCCGGGGACCUGCCCGAAAGGCAGCGGCGACGUCCGUCUGGUCCUCGAGCGUAUGGGGCUUUGUCACUCGCUCGGGAAGGACCUGCGGGGGUUGGUCACCACCACAUUUUACCACGGUUGACCUCGGAUCAGGUAGGAGUUACCCGCUGAACUUAAGCAUAUCAAUAAGCGGAGGA
rnacentral:misc_RNA from 1 species